GACCACGUAACUCAGUUGGCAGAGCAUUGGGCUAGUAUUCCAAAGGCGUAGGUUCGGUCCCCACCGUGGCCG